AACUCGCGAGAGUAAGCUAAUCUCUUAAAGCCGUUCUCAGUUCGGACUGUAGGCUGCAACUCGCCUACACGAAGUCGGAAUCGCUAGUAAUCGCGGAUCAGCAUGCCGCGGUGAAUACGUUCCCGGGCCUUGUACACACCGCCCGUCACACCAUGGAAGUCUGCAAUGCCCGAAGCCGGUGGCCUAACCACUUAUGUGGAAGGAGCCGUCUAAGGCAGGGCAGAUGACUGGGGUGAAGUCGUAACAAGGUAUC
rnacentral:rRNA from 1 species